CUCUUUCUUUUGUCUCUCUUUCUCUGAUAUUGUUCUCUUUUGAUUUCUGUGCAGAUGAAUAUGAUUUUGAUGGAGACGGUGAACACGUUGCUGAUGAUAUCGUGAUGUUGAUGGUUUGUUUGCUCAACCUAUGGAAUUUAUGGUCGGAGUUGAAUCGUAUACGACGAAGAAGAUGCCGAUUCUCCUCAGAUUUUAGAGAUCUGUAACCGUUCAAUCGCAGCAAUCCAGAGCAAUUCGUUUUACCGAACCUUUUCAGAUCCCCUUUUCAUAUCGUCACUACUAUCCAUACCAUUGGUAAGAUUUUGUUACUAUGCUUUUAUUGAAUGUGUCUGAUUGUAUGGUUAUCGUGAUGUCCGUUAGAUAUGCGGUGUUCAGUUUCACGGUGGUCGAUCUGCGGUGGCAACAACAUGUUUCCGUCAGUGACUGUGGUGGUGGGAUUUAUGGUGCCAUGGCUGUUGCGGGGAGUUUUAUAUGUUCGAUUACCAUAAUUGACUCUUUUGGAGGUUUUCAUCUUUUAAUAGAUGUUGUUCUUUAAGAACUUGGAUAUGUCUUUCCUCCAAUUAUG